rnacentral:tmRNA from 1 species
GGGAGUGACUUGGCUUCGACAGGAGUAGUUGGAACUUGGUUGCAUGUCGUUCUGAACAAAACGUUAAACUGUCCGUUUAAACUUAAACGCAAACAAUACAGAUUACGCUCCAGCUUACGCUAAAGCUGCGUAAGUUUAACUAACUUUGGAGGUCUUGUGUUGUGGAUGCCAUUUUUCACAACUUUUCAAGGCUAAUAACAAAACAAAUGGCUGUGGGAUUUAGGCUGACCGAUUAGAUCUCAAGAUAAGGUCUUAGUCUAGUGAAGUUUCGGAGUGUGUGCAAAACUAGAUGAAAUCAAUCACACUUACUAAACAUGUAGAUGCCAUUUUUUGGUUAUUUUUGGACAGGGGUUCAAUUCCCCUCACUUCCACCA